rnacentral:rRNA from 1 species
UACGUAGGUGGCAAGCGUUAUCCGGAUUUACUGGGUGUAAAGGGCGUGUAGGCGGGACUGCAAGUCAGAUGUGAAAACCACGGGCUCAACCUGUGGCCUGCAUUUGAAACUGUAGUUCUUGAGUACUGGAGAGGCAGACGGAAUUCCUAGUGUAGCGGUGAAAUGCGUAGAUAUUAGGAGGAACGCCAGUGGCGAAGGCGGUCUGCUGGACAGCAACUGACGCUGAGGCGCGAAAGCGUGGGGAGCAAACAGG